GUAUUUGGGAGCAGGAUAUUAGGUAGAAAUCUUUUGGUGAACUGCAGAUUUAAGCGUCUCUGGCGAGUUCUUUGUCGGUCAGCACCACCUCCCUUGGCGCUUGACCUAGCAGAUGUGUGUGCGUGUGCAGAUCAUCCAUGCCUCCACUACGCCACCUGCUGUUGGAUGGCACUGGCCGUCCAAGCGUGUGGAACUGGAAGGACUGUCCUUCAUGGUGGCACAACUCAGCUCGGAGGAUAAAAGACCAAGGUCCUGCAGCCUUCAUGUGAAGUUUUCAAGUACUACAUAUAGGAGGGGGCAGGAGUGGCUGCAAUCUUGCUACGAAAUGACACUUAUGGAGCUUCUUUACCUAACAUGGCCAAGAAGUCUGCAAACUCCAGUAAUCGUAGAGUAGAGCCGGUUGGAUACAUAUUUGCAGAGUGCAUGUAGUGUGUGUGUCAGAUAUACAGUGGGAAAACACAACAAUGCAAGUGUCAGAUCCUGUUCUCGAUGCAAUUUUGCGACUCUAUUCUGGACUGUAAGCAAUUGGUUGAUGUUAAGCUGAAACUCGGAUCAGUCUUGUGGCUCUUGUGUACCUAUAUGCCUAGAUUAUUUAAUAAUGGUAUAUGAACUA